rnacentral:tRNA from 2 species
GGCACCAUGGCCUAAUGGUAAGGCGUUGCUUUCCGGCUUAUCAGCUAUGGCAAAGAUUGAGAGUUCGAGUCUCUCUGGUGUCG